GACGAACGCUGGCGGCGUGCCUAACACAUGCAAGUCGAACGAGAUCCAGAGGAGCUUGCUCCUUGAAGAUCUAGUGGCGAACGGGUGAGUAACACGUGAAGAACCUGCCCCGGACUCUGGGAUAACUCGAGGAAACUCGAGCUAAUACCGGAUACCUUCUCGAGGUCGCAUGGCCAUGAGAAGAAAGUUUUUCGGUCUGGGAGGGCUUCGCGGCCUAUCAGCUAGUUGGUGAGGUAACGGCUCACCAAGGCUACGACGGGUAGCUGGUUUGAGAGAACGAUCAGCCACACUGGGACUGAGACACGGCCCAGACUCCUACGGGAGGCAG
rnacentral:rRNA from 1 species